rnacentral:rRNA from 1 species
GUCUCAGGCCGGAUCAGCCUGAAGGCGCCCGAUCUCGUCUGAUCUCGGAAGCUAAGCAGGGUCGGUCUGCUUAGUAUCUUGGAUGGGAGACCACCUGGGAAUCCCGGGUGCUCGAGGCU